CCCCCCCCGGCCCUAGGAGGUCAACCGCUACAAGGGCAAGAACUACCCCAUCAUGAACCUGCACGAGCGGACCCUGAGCGUGCUGGCCUGCCGGGUGAGUGGCCUGGAGCCCUGGCUGCCCCGGGACGUGGGCUGCCUGGCGGGAGGGGCCCGGGCUAGCCGCUUGCCCGCUGUCCCCACAGUACGUGUCGGAGGUGGUGAUCGGGGCCCCGUACGCGGUGACGGCAGAGCUCCUGGACCACUUCAAGGUGGACCUGGUGUGUCACGGGAAGACGGAGAUCGUGCCCGACAAGGACGGCUCCGACCCCUACCAGGAGCCCAAGAGGAGGGGCAUCUUCUGCCACACGGACAGCGGCAGUGACCUCACCACCGACCUCAUCGUCCAGAGGAUCAUCCGGAACAGGCUCGCGUACGAGGCCCGGAACCAGAAGAAGGAGGCCAAGGAGCUAGCCUUCCUGGAGGCCACGCGGAGGCUGGGCAGUGGCCCGCAAGCGGGAGCUGACUGACCGCUGCCCGGCAGGGGCGAGCGCCUCGGGCAGGGCCAGCGUGUGGGGACACGGGAAGCCCCGCGUGGGAGGCUGCCCCCCUUUCCUGCAGGCUGCACGGGGGCGCCCGCAGGAGCGCGGCCCAGAAGCACCGGCACGGGGUGCCUGCAGCCUCAACAGGGCGGCCGGGCCAGCUCCCCGCUGCUCCCAGGACACCCCCCUGCAGGGGCGGGGUGGGAGGAGCCUUCAGCCUGAACGUGGCGCGGAACAGCCGUGCAGGUGCUGCGCCCCCACUCGGCAUCCAGGAGCCAUGCCGCCCACCGGCCUGGCUGUGCUCUCCAGGACCUUCUCUUCUCUGGGUUGUAUCUCCCCUGCCUGAGAGCACUCUC
rnacentral:lncRNA from 1 species